rnacentral:rRNA from 1 species
UACAGAGGUGCCAAGCGUUAGGCGGAAUCACUGGGCUUAAAGCGCGUGUAGGUGGACGGGUAAGUAUCUUGUGAAAUCCCACGGCUCAACCGUGGAACUGCUGGAUAUACUGCUUGUCUUGAGGCACUUAGGGGCAGCUGGAACAAAAUGGUGGAGCGGUGAAAAUGCGUAGAUAUCAUUUGGAACGCCAAAGGCGAAAGCAGGCUGCUGGGAGUGAUCUGACACUGAGACGCGAAAAGCCAGGGGAGCAAACGGGG